GAUAAACGCUGGCGGCGUGCAUGAGACAUGCAAGUCGAACGAACAAACCAGGGCUUGCCUUGGGGCGUGAGUGGCGAACGGCUGAGUAACGCGUGGGUGACCUGCCCAGAAGUGGGGAAUAACUGCCCGAAAGGGUGGCUAAUACCGCAUGUGGUCAUAUCUUCAUUGAUAUGUCCAAAGCCUUCGGGCGCUACUGGAGGGGCCUGCGUUCGAUUAGCUCGUUGGUGAGGUAACGGCUCACCAAGGCGACGAUCGAUAGGUGGUCUGAGAGGAUGAUCACCCAGACUGGGACUGAGACACGGCCCAGACUCCUACGGGAGGCAGCAGUCGGGAAUUUUGCUCAAUGGGGGAAACCCUGAAGCAGCAACGCCGCGUGAGGGAUGAAGGCCUUCGGGUUGUAAACCUCUUUUCUUAGUGACGAUAAUGACGGUAGCUGAGGAAUAAGCCACGGCUAACUACG
rnacentral:rRNA from 1 species